AGGUGGAGGGAGUUGUUU
rnacentral:miRNA from 1 species